AUAGAUCUGGCGCGCGGCGUGGUUGCCUUCUGUAUAUAUAGUUUCUGCAUAAUUCUGUUUUCUGGUUGGAAAAUUCUGCAAAAUUGAUCUACAUUCUGGGUUUUGGAACUUCAAGAUCGCGAUUCAAGACUCCAGAGGAUAGCUCCAAGCACAUCGAGAGCAUGGAUUCACAAGCCAUGGCGGUGAAGCGAGGAAGCGAACGAAGCACGAUGAGGAGCUAAGCUCCUUUGGAGGUAGAAUCUAGGUAGUUUAGGAUGUAGUUCAGCUGAAUGUAAUCUGCAAAUGUUGUAAGAAUUUACUCUCUCUAUAGUGUUCAUCCAAUGCAACUCUGUUUUUAAUGCUUUAUAAUCCUUCAUUAGUGUUAUAAUGAUUUCGAGUUAAGUCACGUGCGAGAGUAUUGAUUUAAUUUCUGAACUGAAUUGCAUUGAGCACUCGAGUGUCUCCGGUCG
rnacentral:lncRNA from 1 species